rnacentral:tRNA from 1 species
AGCGGGGUGGAGGAGUCUGGAGUCCUCGCAGAGUUUUUAAUGGCAUAAAUGUUAUAAAAACGCGAAAGGCCCAUAACCCUGAGAUCGUGUGGUUCAAAUCCCACCCCCGCUA